rnacentral:tRNA from 1 species
GCCUGGGUGGCUCAGUCCGUUGAGCGUCCGACUUCGGCUCAGGUCAUGAUCUCAGGGUUUGUGGGUUCAAGCCCCAUGUCAGGCU